GUAAGGAAAGCCCGCAAAGAGUACAAAAGAUACGGCUUGAUUUUCACAUGUCUGUACUCUAGAGCUGUUCAUAUUGAAAUGCUCGAAGAUUUAUCAACAGACUCAUUCAUCAACUCAUUGAGAUGCUUCAUCAGCCUGAGAGGAGCUGUUAAACAACUUCGCUGCGACCAAGGCUCUAAUUUUGUUGGCGCCAGGAAUGAGCUCAAGGAAGCACUUAAACAAUGUGACACUAAGCUACUGGAAAUCUUCCUGACUGAGAAGCAGUGCGAAUUUGUCUUCAAUGCUCCCUCUGACAGUCCUGCAGGUGGUGUCUGGGAACGCCAGAUCAGAACUGUUAGAAAUGUGCUGAAUGCCGCCUUUGCACAGUGCCCAGGUCGACUUGAUGAUGCCUCCCUCAGAACACUGCUAUAUGAGACCAUGGCUAUCGUUAACAGCCGCCCGUUAACAGUGGAUGGAAUCAAUGAUCCACAGGCACUGGAGCCUAUAACGCCGAAUCAUCUCAUUAUGAUGAAAUCUAAAGUUGCUCUUCCUCCUCCUGGAGUAUUUGUCAGGGAGGACCUAUAUGCGACAAAGAGGUGGAGAAGAGUUCAGUAUCUCAUCGAACAGUUUUGGAGCCGCUGGAAAAAGGAGUAUCUGCUGAACAUAUCCUUGAGACAGAAAUGGCACUCACCUCAGCGCAACCUCAAAGUGAAUGACAUUGUCAUUGUUAAAGACGACAACCUCCCAAGAAAUCAGUGGCAACUUGGACGGGUGAUUGAGACUGUUCAAAGUAGUGAUGGCUUGGUUCGUCGAGUUAAAGUGCAAGUUGGUGAGAGGAAACCUCAUAAAAAACAAGAUCCACCCUCCAAGCCCUCAGUUAUUGAGAGACCAAUCAAAAAAUUGGUGCUCCUCCUAGAGAACUGAUUAAAAAAAAAAAAAAGCGAUUGACAACACUGCACAAACUGCUUUAUUAUGCAUAAUGCCAUAUAGUUACGCCUCUGAUAGCUUAACUUCAGGCUAUUCAUUUCUUAGAGUCAAGAAAUCCUGCACAAUUCACUUACUCUUUGUAUAUUUGUUUAUUCAUUGUACUAGGAUUUGGUGGGAGUGUAAAUGUCUUAUAAAUCGCAUUCAUUUUCUCCUACACAGUUUAUAACAUAUAUAACAUUUUAUAUUUAUAUGUUAAGACAUUAUAAUUCUACAGUGUCACUUUGUCUGUUCCGCUUUUAUUUUGAAAAGCGCCGUUUUUCUUCGGAUGGUUUUUUUUUGUGACGCUAGACUUCCGCUACUCUCUCUUCACAAUGUGGUGUUCACGUAUCGUCGGAAGAACGAGCUCUGAACUGUGAGGGUGUGUCGAGCUAGAGAGCAUGGUAGCUGAUGGCAGAAACUCUUUGAUUAGCGCCCUUGGAGAAGCGGAAUGAGGUAUGAAGGAAACUGGGUGGAGUUUGUAUUAUUAUCAGAAGGGAUAUUGUUUAUGGA
ensembl:lncRNA